GCACAAGCGGUGGAGCAUGUGGUUUAAUUCGACGCAACGCGAAGAACCUUACCCAGGCUUGAACUGCAGGUGACAUCCUACGAAAGUAGGCUUCCGCAAGGACACCUGUAGAGGUGCUGCAUGGCUGUCGUCAGCUCGUGUCGUGAGAUGUUGGGUUAAGUCCCGCAACGAGCGCAACCCUUGUCUUCUGUUGCCAUCGGGUUAUGCCGGGCACUCUGAAGAGACUGCCGGUGACAAACCGGAGGAAGGUGGGGAUGACGUCAAGUCAGCAUGGCCUUUAUGUCUGGGGCCACACACGUGCUACAAUGGCCGGUACAAACCGUCGCGAGCCCGCGAGGGGGAGCUAAUCGGAGAAAGCCGGUCUCAGUUCGGAUUGUAGGCUGCAACUCGCCUGCAUGAAGUUGGAAUCGCUAGUAAUCGCGGAUCAGCACGCCGCGGUGAAUACGUUCCCGGGC
rnacentral:rRNA from 1 species